CGGGUGAGUAAUACAUAAGUAACCUGCCCUAGACAGGGGGAUAACUAUUGGAAACGAUAGCUAAGACCGCAUAGGUACGGACACUGCAUGGUGACUGUAUUAAAAGUGCCUCAAAGCACUGGUAGAGGAUGGACUUAUGGCGCAUUAACUGGUUGGCGGGGUAACGGCCCACCAAGGCGACGAUGCGUAGCCGACCUGAGAGGGUGACCGGCCACACUGGGACUGAGACACGGCCCAGACUCCUACGGGAGGCAGCAUG
rnacentral:rRNA from 1 species